AUGACUUUCACCUACGGCGAUAGCCCUGGCAAGAGCGGCACCUCGACGGCCACGGCGACCACGGACGCAUCCCUGACAAGAGCGGUGCCCGUUCGUGUCUGGAUGGUCCACGUGGGCGUCACGGUGGCUUCUUCGACGAUGGCUGCCCUGAUGAAUGCCGCCGCGGUGAUGGCACCUUCAUUGAUCGCGGCAGACCUGGCGAGAGGCCCCGCAGUCGCUCCGACCGAGGCAGUCCCGCCGGUCGCCGCCGCGAAACCUGUGGAAAUCAUCAACUUGACGAGCUCCUCUGAAAACUUCUGA
rnacentral:rRNA from 1 species